GAUGAACGCUGGCGGCGUGCCUAACACAUGCAAGUCGAACGAAGCGCCUUUUGAGAUUCUUCGGAUGAUCGAUUGGUGACUGAGUGGCGGACGGGUGAGUAACGCGUGGGUAACCUGCCCUGUACAGGGGGAUAACAGCUGGAAACGGCUGCUAAUACCGCAUAAGCGCACGAGGAGACAUCUCCUUGUGUGACAAACUACGGUGGUACAGGAUGGGCCCGCGUCGGAUUAGCUGGUUGGCAGGGUAACGGCCUACCAAGGCAACGAUCAGUAGCCGGUCUGAGAGGAUGAACGGCCACAUUGGAACUGAGACACGGUCCAAACUCCUACGGGAGGCAGCAGUGGGGAAUAUUGCACAAUGGGGGAAACCCUGAUGCAGCAACGCCGCGUGAGUGAAGAAGUAUUUCGGUAUGUAAAGCUCUAUCAGCAGGGAAGAUAAUGACGGUACCUGACUAAGAAGCUCCGGCUAAAUACGUGCCAGCAGCCGCCGUAA
rnacentral:rRNA from 1 species